CUCCGUUCCUGGUUCAAGCCAAGCUCCAGUCCCUUCCCUGGUCUCAGUGGGAUCAGUUUGUUCUGUUCUCAUCCACUUACAGAAACAGAAGCUACCAACCCACCAAACCCUGGGACAGACAUCCUUAACCUCUUCAGCCCCGUCCGCCCUGGCUUCUUGGACUCCCACAGUUUCUAGGAGGACCACCAUCACCAUCCCAGGAUCCCCAUAUCCCACCGACGAGGAACCCCGCAGCAAUCCACAUCUCAGGAUGGGGCUCCAGCUUUGCCCGAAUGCGUUCAUUAAAGAGAGGAGAAUGAAUGAGCCUAAGGGGGCACCUUUCCUCCUGACAUUGCCCACCGCCUGCGUGUUGGCUGUGCCGUGCCAGCAGCAUUUUGUCCUCGAGCUGUGAGUGCAGCCUGCAGGACGGCACGGAGCGCUGACAGAACCAGGACACAGCGCCAUAGCAGGCACUGCAAAGGAAACAGCUCCAUCCCAGCCGCAACAGUGACAGGCAGGCAGGCACUGGGGAGGGCUGCACGGCAGAGGGACGCCCUCUGAGUGCCACAUCAGGAGAACCUGGAGUGCUGUCUGCAAGCAGAACAGUGCCGGGAUGGCAGCCUGGUGGUCCUAAGCUGCAGAGAUGCUGCUCUGGACCAACAGCCUGUCAUUUUUUCAGAAAACGCC
rnacentral:lncRNA from 1 species